rnacentral:rRNA from 1 species
GAUGAACGCUGGCGGCGUGCCUAAUACAUGCAAGUCGAGCGAACAGACGAGGAGCUUGCUCCUCUGACGUUAGCGGCGGACGGGUGAGUAACACGUGGAUAACCUACCUAUAAGACUGGGAUAACUUCGGGAAACCGGAGCUAAUACCGGAUAAUAUAUUGAACCGCAUGGUUCAAUAGUGAAAGACGGUUUUGCUGUCACUUAUAGAUGGAUCCGCGCCGCAUUAGCUAGUUGGUAAGGUAACGGCUUACCAAGGCAACGAUGCGUAGCCGACGUGAGAGGCUGAUCGGCCGCACUGGAACUGGAACACGGUCCAGACUCCUACGGGAGGCAGCAGUAGGGAAUCUUCCGCAAUGGGCGAAAGCUUGACGGAGCAACGCCGCGUGAGUGAUGAAGGUCUUCGGAUCGUAAAACUCUGUUAUUAGGGAAGAACAAAUGUGUAAGUAACUAUGCACGUCUUGACGGUACCUAAUCAGAAAGCCACGGCUAACUACGUG